rnacentral:lncRNA from 1 species
AUGCUCCACGACAGAAUCACAGAGAUGGGAGUGAAACAUGACCAGACAAGAUCUGCUGUAGAAGAAAAUAACAAAGAUCUGAAAUCUCUCAAAGAAAGACUGGCAGAGAUGGGAGUGAAACAUGACCAGACAAGAUCUGCUGUGGUAGAAGAAGAGCUGAAAUCAGUCAAGGAAAGGCUCAGAGAGAUGGAAGUGAAAUAUGACCAGACAAGAGCAGCUCUAAAUGACAAAGAUGAAGAACUAAAAUCAUUCAAAGACAGAGUGGCAAGAGAGGUCGCCCUUUCACUAAAGACGGGGAAAAACGCAGAGAGCAUGAACAACCCAGUCAGUAAAACCAGGCUUAUACAGAUGUAUGAAGAGCUGAGGCUGGAGUGGCCAAAGGUCAAAAAACACCUGAAAUCCAAUAAUGGAAACUCGGAGUCAGUCAGAGUCGACAUUCAGGUUGAAGAGUUCAGACUGCUAACGGUACAGAACCUGCAGCUGGCCGUCUACCACACCAGGACACAGCCUGACCCAAAGGCGAAAGAUGAAACCCCUCAGAACGUGGUGGAGCAGUUUAACUCUGAAUGUUACUGGCUCGGCUGUUUGAUGGCUUUAAAUGGUCCUCCUCUUCACCCUGACUGGGACAAUCACGUUCCGGGGAUGGACGCUUGGGACAUUUUCCCACGAAAAACUGCAGCUGUCGCUGUUUCCAACAACGAAUCUUUCUGUUAG